rnacentral:rRNA from 1 species
GAUGAAUGCUGGCGGCGUGCCUAAUACAUGCAAGUCGAGCGAACAGAUGAGGAGCUUGCUCCUCUGACGUUAGCGGCGGACGGGUGAGUAACACGUGGAUAACCUACCUAUAAGACUGGGAUAACUUCGGGAAACCGGAGCUAAUACCGGAUAAUAUAUUGAACCGCAUGGUUCAAUAGUGAAAGACGGUUUUGCUGUCACUUAUAGAUGGAUCCGUGCCGCAUUAGCUAGUUGGUAAGGUAACGGCUUACCAAGGCAACGAUGCGUAGCCGACCUGAGAGGGUGAUCGGCCACACUGGAACUGAGACACGGUCCAGACUCCUACGGGAGGCAGCAGUAGGGAAUCUUCCGCAAUGGGCGAAAGCCUGACGGAGCAACGCCGCGUGAGUGAUGAAGGUCUUCGGAUCGUAAAACUCUGUUAUUAGGGAAGAACAAAUGUGUAAGUAACUAUGCACGUCUUGACGGUACCUAAUCAGAAAGCCACGGCUAACUACGUG